CUAGAGAAAACAAAGAAUUUAUACGUUGGGAUCUUCGCUGAAGGAAAUCUCCGAACCGAUCAGAGCACUGUUUGUGAAUGUAUACUUAUACGAUGUGCUUUUGGUCUUGGAAUGUGACGAGCAGGAGCUGGAGGCGCAAAUCAAGGAGCUGCUGGCUCUGACAAUAAAUCUGGAAAAUCGGGAUCGUUCCAUUAUAGCGGCUCUCAAUAUCAUCAAACAAUGACAAUGGUAAUCGAUGCUUCAAUCGGUCUGUAUCAAAAAUGUUAGUUUCUACCACAAAACUGCCGCACAGCGCGGUGAAGGCACCGAGGAAAUGAAAACUGAUCAAGGUUUUUCUGAUUCUGCUGAAGUUGACCAAGGAUCCGACUAUUGCCAUGGUUUAAAUUAUGCAAUCGUGUGGAGAAUGUCAAGCGGAUCAAGAUUCGAUAGGAAAUAUUAACGAUGAUAUACUUAUUUAAAACGCUUGUACCAUCUGGUUGUUUGCGAUGAUCAGAAUUUGCAGCAAGCGCAAGUCGGUGGAGAAUAAAACAGAUUCUGCAGCUGGCAUUCACUGAUUUACUCUCAAAGGAUAAUGGAUGUGGCAUCACGUGGUUUGGGAAUGAUGUGCUCAAUUUCCAUGAAUGGCAGGCAGGAAAAACUGCCGAAUUAGUUGUUGGUCAACUAGACGACUUGUGCAAAAAGAAGACACUAAGAUUUUCGAGGAAGGUGUACUGAGGAUGGCACC